rnacentral:rRNA from 1 species
CCUACGGGAGGCUGCAGUGGGGAAUAUUGGUCAAUGGGCGCAAGCCUGACCCAGCAACGCCGCGUGAAGGAAGAAGGCUCUCGGGUUGUAAACUUCUUUUUUUAGGGACGAAGCAAGUGACGGUACCUGAGGUCUAAGCCACGGCUAACUACGUGCCAGCAGACGCGGUAAUACGUAGGUUGCAAGCGUUAUCCGGAUUUACUGGGUGUAAAGGGCGUGUAGGCGGGGACGCAAGUCAGAUGUGAAAUCCACGGGCUCAACCUGUUGCCUGCAUUUGAAACUGGGUUUCUUGAGUACUGGAGAGGCAGACGGAAUUCGUAGUGUAGCGGUGAAAUGCGUAGAUAUUAGGAAGAACACCGGUGGCGAAGGCAGUCUGCUGGACAGCAACUGACGCUGAGGCGCGAAAGCGUGGGGAGCAAACAGGAUUAGAUACCCUAGUAGUC